GUAAAUGCCUAGGUCUUUUAAUGAUUUUAAAAAACGAAAGAACUUGUAGCUUAAGUAAUUUGCGCUCAUUUUUCACCAAGAUACUGAUUUUAGUGUAAUUUCGGAAACAUGAAUGCAAUAUUUUCAUCCAGUCAGAAGACUUUUGUUAAAUAGCCACCCCGCUGCUGAAGGAAUUAAAUGGUUGUCAUAACAACCACCUGCGUGCAGAGGAGCUACAUGCAGUGAGUAUGUCACAUACAAGCAAAAUGGCAGAAUACACAAAGUAAGGUGCUUGGAAAUGACUUUACCAAGGAACCUGACUGAGUCCACUGCGCUGACGGAGGAGCGACACUGCAUGAGGGGGGUGGAGCACCGUGCUAUCAACUUGUCAAUUUCCUGUCUGUACGCUGACUCAUCCCCAAAGUUGUCAUCAGCAAAUUUCAAUCGUGCUUUUUGGUGCAGCAAAGAGAGGGAAGUGAGGUGGGAACAUUGCAGGAUGGACACUGUGAGUCUCAGAAGCGUGACAGGUGGCUGGGGAAGAUGGAUUCUGGGCUGCAGACUUUGGUGUCGAUUCUACAGUGGAACUUGUUAAGUUCACAAAUCAGCUGUUGUUCAAAAAUAGGGGGGAUUUGGGUUUAUAGCUGUUCACCUUUUGCUAUGUAAGUCAUGGUUCAUCAUUAUUUUAGCGUACCCAGCAAUAGGUAAACAGCUGUAUUCAGCAAGUAUAGAUGAAGUACUCUGCUUGGGUUGCCUUCAGUUUUUAAAUUGACCAGUUCAAACACUGGUUGCCUUUGUGUAGUCUGGACACUGGUCCAUCUAGUCAUCUCUAUUAGCCCUUAAUGCAGUGACCUUUGUAUCACCAUUGGAGAUUGGCUAAACAUCUGAGGGGGUGUGGCCUUAGGAGGUCAUCAGGGGUCACCAGAGAGGAGCUGAUAAUGGAACAGUAUAGGUCCGCUUCCCAUUUUGGUGGUAAUAAUGGUGGUAAUAACGGAGUUUUAUGACCUUAAAUUAGCUGUAAACGGUCCUCUUUCCCAUCAUCUGAGCAGGCUUCCUGAAAAGUAUCCUUACCAAUAGUGGAGGCUUUAUGCCAGCCUAUUUCUGUAACCAUCGAUAAAAGAUGAAAAAUCCAUUAAAAGAUUUACACAUUAACGUGAUUAAACAUCAUCGGAGGUCUCAAACGUGAGAGUGAUCAAUGUCAUACAGUUUGACAUACGGGUGUAAGAGUAAGUGAGUCAGAUCGUUAAGCCAAUGUGGACGUCGAUGUCUUAGGUGUGUCCCCCCCCCCCACCAUGUUCCCCUGCUGCUGUUGUUCCUGAUACCUGGUCAGCUUCACGGAGGCUGGAGUGCAGCUGUGUUCAGGUGGAGACCUGAGAGCAGAAGUGAGGAGCCCCAUGACUUUUGGCUGAUCUAUCAUCUCUCUACUGCUCAGACAGAACUUUCUGAGGCUGUCUCUUUUUGAAUUCGAUUUAUCACCUAGUAAAGCUACAUUUUCCAUUUAUGUUCUUAAGACGUAGCUCUCCUAUACAGGCAGUCUCCAGGAUACAAACAAGGUCCAUUCCCUAAGUCUGUCUUUAAGUCGAAUUUGUGAGUCAGAGGAAUAAUACAGGGCAUAAUAAUAGUAAUACAGUGAUAAUAAAAGUAAUUCCAUGUGGGGUACUGUGCUCUACUUCAAGCCAGCGAAAUGCUAAAGCCGCGCAAUGUUUUCACGAGCAUCACAAAGUGUGAAGGUUCGUUAUUAUGAAUCAUUGUAUUUCAUCUGAAUUUUUAAUAUAAUAGACUUUAUUGUUUCUUAAGCAUGAGUUGUCUAUAAGUCUGACAUUCUUAACCCGAGGACUGUCUGUACGGUUCAAUGAGCUGUUAUGUAACGUAUACACACAAAUAAGUAGCUUAAAUUGUCAUUUUUAUAUAAUGACUUUUAUCAAGGUUAUAUAAACCUUAUGGAGGGAAGGUUUAGCUUAUCAAGUUUUUU